CCUACGGGAGGCAGCAGUGGGGAAUCUUGCGCAAUGGGCGAAAGCCUGACGCAGCAACGCCGCGUGCGGGAAGAAGGCCCUAGGGUUGUAAACCGCUUUCAGUAGGAACGAAAAUGACGGUACCUGCAGAAGAAGGUGCGGCCAACUACGUGCCAGCAGCCGCGGUGACACGUAGGCACCAAGCGUUGUCCGGAUUUAUUGGGCGUAAAGAGCUCGUAGGCGGUUCAGUAAGUCGGGUGUGAAAACUCUGGGCUUAACCCAGAGCCGCCACUCGAUACUGCUGUGACUUGAGUUCGGUAGGGGAGCAGGGAAUUCCUAGUGUAGCGGUGAAAUGCGCAGAUAUUAGGAGGAACACCGGUGGCGAAGGCGCUGCUCUGGGCCGAUACUGACGCUGAGGAGCGAAAGCGUGGGUAGCAAACAGGAUUAGAUACCCUGGUAGUCCACGCCGUAAACGUUGGGCACUAGGUGUGGGUUCCAACCAACGGAAUCCGCGCCGUCGCUAACGCAUUAAGUGCCCCGCCUGGGGAGUACGGCGGCAACGCUAAAACUCAAAUGAAUUGA
rnacentral:rRNA from 1 species